rnacentral:lncRNA from 1 species
AAUGCUGUUAUUAUAACAGCCUGGCUGCUGGAACCCCCAGUAGUAAAGUGAAAUAGUCAAGGCUCCCCAGCACAGACAAUAGCUACAUUGACCUUGAGUUUAAGAAAAGCCCUCCCAUGAUCUCUUAUAAGGCACUGCACUUGGUACUGUGCUGUUUUUGAUUAAUGCCUUUCUCAAUAUCAUAGGCUCCUUCUUGCUGGUCCACUACAUCAGCAAGGGUGGGGCAAGUGUCGUUCCAGUCCUGCUCCUAGGCAUUCUGGUGUUCCCAUUG